UACAGAGGUCUCAAGCGUUGUUCGGAUUCAUUGGGCGUAAAGGGUGUGUAGGUGGCGCCGUAAGUCGGGUGUGAAAUUUCGGAGCUUAACUCCGAAACUGCAUUCGAUACUGCGGUGCUUGAGGACUGGAGAGGAGACUGGAAUUCAUGGUGUAGCAGUGAAAUGCGUAGAGAUCAGGAGGAACACCAAUGGCGAAGGCAGCACUCUGGGACGUGACUGACGCUGAGACGCGAAAGCGUGGGGAGCAAACAGG
rnacentral:rRNA from 1 species